CACAAGGCUGUAUUGGCAGCCACAAGCAAAUUUUUCAAGGAGGUGU
rfam:Podiceps cristatus contig29382, whole genome shotgun sequence.